rnacentral:pre_miRNA from 1 species
CGCUGUGCGUAUCGACCCGUGCAGUAUCCAUCGUUUAAAGCUAGGGGAGCGGAAUGGGAUUAGAUACCCCAGUAGUCCUAAGCCGUAAACGAUGGAUACUGCACGGGUCGAUACGGCACAGCGCUGUAGCUAACGCGUUA